AACGAACGCUGGCGGCAGGCUUAACACAUGCAAGUCGAACGAGAUCUUCGGAUCUAGUGGCAGACGGGUGAGGAACACGUGGGAACAUCCCUUUCAGUUCGGAAUAACGUUGGGAAACUAACGCUAAUACCGGAUACGUCCUUCGGGAGAAAGAUUUAUCGCUGAAAGAUUGGCCCGCGUCUGAUUAGCUAGUUGGUGAGGUAACGGCUCACCAAGGCUAUGACGCUUAGGGGGGCUGAGAGGCUGAUCCCCACCGAUGGUACUGAGACACGGACCAUACACCUACGGGUGGCCGCAGUCGAGAAUCUUCCACAAUGGGCGAAAGCCUGAUGGAGCGACGCCGCGUGAUUGAUGAAGUCUCUAGGGAUGUAAAGAUCUUUUCUGAAGGAGGAAGUUUUGACGUUACUUCAGGAAUAAGGGGUUGCUAAACUCGUGCCAGCCGCCACGGUAA
rnacentral:rRNA from 1 species